rnacentral:rRNA from 1 species
UACGGAGGGUGCGAGCGUUGUCCGGAAUCAUUGGGCGUAAAGGGCGCGUAGGUGGCCCGGUCAGUCUUUGGUGAAAGCGCGGGGCUCAACCCUGCGUCGGCCAGGGAUACUGCCGCGGCUCGAGCACUGUAGAGGCAGGCGGAAUUCCGGGUGUAGCGGUGGAAUGCGUAGAGAUCCGGAAGAACACCGGUGGCGAAGGCGGCCUGCUGGGCAGUAACUGACACUGAGGCGCGACAGCGUGGGGAGCAAACAGG